AAUAACUGUUCCUAACUGAUGUUACGCAGCCCAUAAGAGAAAACCACCGUACACGGUUGGCUCAAGGGGUAUGCGAAAGCAGCCCUUUUAGUUCGCCAGGUCUUUACAAACAAAGACGGUAGCACGGGGAUAUUACAUCUGGUUUGCAGUGAUUUGAGUUCCGACUAUGACGCCAUUACCACGACCUACAAAAAGCGAUCUCGCGAGAGUCAGCGGACCUUAUAAAGUGCGUCGUAGUCCGGAUUGGAGUCUGCAACUCGACUCCAUGAAGUCGGAAUCGCUAGUAAUCGUGGAUCAGAAUGCCACGGUGAAUACGUUCCCGGGGGCCUUGUACACACCGCCCGUCACACCAUGGGAGUGGGUUGCAAAAGAAGUAGGUAGCUUAACCUUCGGGAGGGCGCUUACCACUUUGUGAUUUUAUGACUGGGGUG
rnacentral:rRNA from 1 species